rnacentral:tRNA from 1 species
GCCGUCGUAGUGUAAUGGUAGCACACUCGGCGCGUAUACGAGAGGUCCAGGUUCGAGUCCCGGCGAGGGUA